rnacentral:rRNA from 1 species
AUUGAACGCUGGCGGAAUGCUUUACACAUGCAAGUCGAACGGCAGCACGGGGGCAACCCUGGUGGCGAGUGGCGAACGGGUGAGUAAUACAUCGGAACGUGCCCAGUCGUGGGGGAUAACGUAGCGAAAGUUACGCUAAUACCGCAUACGAUCUACGGAUGAAAGCGGGGGAUCGCAAGACCUCGCGCGAUUGGAGCGGCCGAUGUCAGAUUAGGUAGUUGGUGGGGUAAAGGCUCACCAAGCCGACGAUCUGUAGCUGGUCUGAGAGGACGACCAGCCACACUGGGACUGAGACACGGCCCAGACUCCUACGGGAGGCAGCAGUGGGGAAUUUUGGACAAUGGGCGCAAGCCUGAUCCAGCCAUUCCGCGUGCAGGAUGAAGGCCCUCGGGUUGUAAACUGCUUUUGUACGGAACGAAACGGCGCUCUCUAAUACAGGACGCUAAUGACGGUACCGUAAGAAUAAGCACCGGCUACUACGUGCCAGCAGCCGCGGUAA